CAGCACUUUCACACUUUCACUCUUUUAUUCAAGCCUAACCUUUCCUCUCCCGGGAAUCACAGCGUCGCCAUUUUACGUCGUUUAUGGACGGACCAAAGGAGGAGGAAUGGGGUGAUUACACGUGAAUACGAAACGACAACAAUGGUGAUGAUCAUCAUCUUUGAGAUGUUUCUACGCCUUCAUUGCAGGCCAUCUGUGGUCAAUGAAACUGAUCGGUGAUGAUUGGGAAAGGCACACACCUGUCUAUAAGAGGUUUCUCUGGCAAUUCUUCUGGGAAAGGGUACAGCAAAGUUCUGCUGCUUCGAAGGUGGCCUCCAUCUUCUGCCAAUGAUGGUCCCCUCUGAGAAAGCUCCAGUUUUCCUCUGUGGAGAAUGGAGAAGCUUGUUGGCAUGAGAUUACAUCUACAGCUGGCAGAAUCUAUCUGGAGGGCAUGUGAUAUGAUACGUGAUAUCAUGACCCAGCAGCUGAGCUGCAGGAUGCCAAAUAAGGAGGAGGGCGGCAUGGAGGCCAUCAGUGAUGCUCCAUGGCGAAGCCAGCUGUCUGCCUGCCCUGGAGGAGGUCAACCCUGCUCACGACGAUCUUAGUACUCAAGUUCAAGGUAUUACUUUAGACUAUAGUUGGAAAUGAAUUCCUUUAUUAGAUGGAUGAGGCAAAGCAAAGUAUCCUCCAAGAUUCCUGAAUCCGUAAUGAAGGCAGCAAAUGGGAAUAAGCACCAUGUUUUAGUACUUAUUAUCAUACACGGGUGGCGAAUGUGUCUUGUCUGCCUCAAAUGAUGCUCUAUAAUGAUUAGAAUGAAUAUAAUAUAUAAUGAAUAUGAUGAGUAAUUUGUGUAAAAGUCAUGUACUGUCACAGGCAGGCAUGGCCGUGACCCCAGGAUGCAGACACAGGAACGUUGUGCAGGUAAAAGUAUAAUUUUAAUAAGGGUAGCAGUCCAACAGAAAACAAGCAAACAGGACAGGAAGUGAAUGAGAAAAUAAGAGUAUCCAAAGGGGAACUAAACUAGAAAGGGAACAGCAAAGGAAGCGAAGACAAAAUAAGAGCAUAGAUACAGGAAACAGAGGCAGAGCUGUCACAAGGGGGUGAAGCCACCUGAUCAAAAUAGCCUUUGGGUGUCUGGGCAUGCGAGUCUGCCCCCACAUAUGUGCUUUCUGAUAUGAACAUUUUAGCAUGAAUAGUCAGACAUUUUCUCUAGAAGCCAUAUGUUUAGGUAGUAUGGAUUUGCAUGCAAUGUUUUAUUACAGUGUACCUCUCAUUAUUGUCAAAUAACUCGUUUUUUAGUGAAUACUAAUCCAAGCUACAACAGAAAGAUACGUUUCCAUGAAGGUCCAGGGAACAGCAAAGGAAGUGGAGACAAAAUAAGAGCGUAGAUACAGGAAACAGAGGCAAAGGAGGAAAACACAGAGAGUUCUCACGAGGGGGUGAAGCCACCUGAUCCAAAUAGCCUUCGGGUGUCUGGGCAUGCGAGUCUGCCCCCACAUAUGUGCUUUCUGAUAUGAACAUUUUAGCAUGAAUAGUCAGACAUUUUCUCUAGAAGUCAUAUGUUUAGGUAGUAUGGAUUUGCAUGCAAUUUUUAUUAAAUUUUUAUUAAACCUCUCAUUAUUGUCAAAGAACUCGCUAAUCCAAGCUACAACAGAAUAUACGUUUCCAUGAAGGUACAGCCAUGGAUUUGUAUUUGCCAUCAGUGCUGGAAAAUAAAACCCAAAAGAUGCAGUCCCUGUGUCAGCCCUGACCAACAGACACCAGCGGCCCAGCAGAUGAAUUAUAUGUUAGGACUAAAUAAGUACAUUUUGACAAUUCCCCAUAGCGCACCUGACAAUAGGUCGCAUUUCUUCCAGUACAAUACAAACAACAGUAAAGUAAACGUGUGCUCCACUGUUGCGUACAGAAAUUAUUUUCAAGGUUUUGGAUCAGAAAGAAAAGCACAACAUUCAUCACGGUGCACAAUAGCUGAAAGCAUUUUCACUAUCAAAGCAUCUGUUCACUACAUUUGUGUGGUUGUAUGAUUGCAUUGUUGUAGCUGAUGGCCCGUCCAGGCAGGAAGGUAAUUGGGCCAGGACAGUGUAAUUCCAAACUGUCCACAUACAAGCCCGCUGGAAUGGACAUAGUGGUGUAUGUAAGAUGAAGGAAACUCAAAGAUUGCACUUAUUCGGCCUCCCGACCUUCCAGUGGGCUUUGCACAAUCCAGUUCUGAAGGAAAAGCACUGAAAAUAAAAGAAGAUUAAAAAACACCUGAUAAAACGUGUGUGCAAUGGGAACUAUGGCGGGUAACAGCUUGUAGUUCUCACAAAUCUACAAAAUCAUCAAAAGGAACAUCGUCAAGAAUAUCAGUAGGGGCGUUGUUCUUUCUGCAUGGAAAAGUUCUGUUGAUGAAGAUGACAAUGGCUGUGUUUCAAUUCCUUACACGUGCAGCCUUUUGUUAUUGAGAAAGCGAUUAUAAUGUCCUGGUUUUCACUGUUUUUCAUUAAAUUCAGCAGCAUUAGUGCACUCUGCUCCAUAGAACAGCCUCCCUGAGGGACUGCUAUGUGUUUGAGUGGAGCCAAGAAGCAGCAAAAAGCCAAAGAAGAAGCAAAGCUAUGUGCAAAGUCUCAGCAAAUUGGCGACACCAUGCACAACGGGAGCUAAAAGUACCAAUUUCUUACAACUUUAGAGGCCAUGUUUUUCCAAAAAAUCUUGGCUACUGUCACGGUGAGGCAUGUCAGUGUUGCGGUGCAAUGUUUAGCUUUAUUCCCCGAAAGCGAAUGCAGUACUGGCAUACAACACGCCGAAAUGAACAAUGCACCAACAAAAGGCAGACGCACCUGGCUGAACUAAAUACAACAAUCAAAUUACAAACAGGUGCAUGUAGAGAAAGUAAAAGUGACGGAACACAGGACAGACCAACACAGGAAAUAAUACAAAAUAAGAGCAUGAGAGUAGGAACUAAGGCUGACAAAGUGAAAACAAAAACUGUCACACAAGCAACGGUGCGGAUUGUGACAGCUACACUCCAAAAUGAACAAGAAUUCGACCUUAGUUUGUGUUGGUUUUUAAAUGUUGGAUAUGUUAAAUAUGUGUGCGUAUAUCGUAUUUUGGAAUAACACAA